rnacentral:rRNA from 1 species
GCCUGAUCAGGUUGAAGUCAGGGGAAACCCUGAUGGAAGACCGAAGCAGUUCUGACGUGCAAAUCGAUUGUCAGAAUUGGGCAUAGGGGCGAAAGACCAAUCGAACCAUCUAGUAGCUGGUUCCCUCCGAAGUUUCCCUCAGGAUAGCUGGUGCAUAUACCGUUUCAUUAAACUUAAUAAAUCUUAUCUGGUAAAGCGAAUGAUUAGAGGCAUUAGGUUCGAAACGUUCUUAACCUAUUCUCAAACUAUAAAUGGGUACGAUAUAAGAGUUUCUUGAUUGAACUCUUAUUCCACGCUUUUGGCGUACCAUAUCAAACAUUUAUUACAUGUUUGUAAUUUGGUUUAGAUUUAUUGUGCCCAGUGGGCCAAG